rnacentral:lncRNA from 12 species
GGAAACAUGAGAAAUGAUGGGUGACCUAGAAGUAGAGAUGCAAGAACAUGAUGAAAGGUGACCUGAGCACACUCUGGGCAGUGGGGUGCUCCAGCAAAGGGUGAGAAGAGCAAGGAAAGGCCAGUGGGAAGCCCAGAGGAGAGAACACCAAAUGAGGUUAGAAAUAACCUCAGAGAUGUAGAGAUGGGGAGGGGAGAAUUAGGCUUCGUAGAGGGAGCAGUGUUUC